UUGAGAUGCCGGACUCGCUGCACACAGACGGCGAUCUGUCAGUGCAUUAGCCAAAGCCGUUCGCACCACCUGUGUUGGAUCAGGAUGAGCUCUGCGAAAUACAAAGCUGUUUCUGGCCUUCCAGAUCUGCCACAGCGUAUGCACAAUAAUGUCCAGAUCAGAUUCUGGGGUAUGUGUGGUGCAUAACUUGCAUAGAGAGUCAGAAAUAACAUGUCGACGGUAGAGAUUCUCACAUGUGGAAAGAGCAUUGUGGCAGAGAGACCACAAAAAGACACGGAGUUUUGGAGAUGUUUUGAGCUGCCAGAUCUUACGCCAAAGGGUUGUAGGGGCUUGGUAGGAAGAUGAUGCGUUGUUGCUGUCAUGCAUAUUAGCUUUUGCUCUAAGGUAGUUAUAACAACUCUUGACUGUAUAUUCGCCGUCUUGAGUGCCUUUCCAUAUGAUCUUAUCAGUUA